ACCCUCCUGACAUUAAAAACUGAUCAAUUCCAGAUGGAUUAUAGAUAUAGUUGUGGAAGACAAAACAAUCAAACUUUUAGAAAAAAGUCAAAGACAUUAUUUUCAGGUUUUCCAAGUUGGGAAAUGUGAUACAAAACUAUUCAGUUUAAAUAAAAAAUCAAUACCUUUAACUAUUAAAAUUGAGGACUGCUAUUUAUCCAAAGAUACAAUGAAGAGACUGAAAGGCAAAGAUUAAAAAAAGACUAAAGAUUUAAAAAAUUAAAUAUGUAUACACACAUGAAUGGAAUAUGUGAAAAAGUCUCCAAGUAAAGAAAAAAGGACAAUUCACUAGAAAUAGAAGAAAAGUCUUAAACAGUCUCAUCCCAAAGAAGAUAUCCUAAUGAACAGUGGACAUGAACAGGGGCUCAACUUCGUUAAUUAUCUCUCAUUCUCAAGGAAAAGCAAAUUAGACUGUGAAUAAAAUCUCCAUGUACCCACUAGGAUGACUACAAUUCAAAAGGCUGACCUAUCCAGGUGAAGAUGAGAGUGUGCAGCAUUGGAAAUUCUUACACAUUGCUGGAGAUUUAGAAGCUAAAGAAAGAGGACAAAUGAUUUGGAAGCAAAGAUAAGAAGGAAGAAGGGUAUGUUAUCUACGUCACUUCGAGCUCUGUCACAUGAGGAAUAAUAGAGGAAAAGCAGGGCAUUGCCCCUAGAGGGAGGUGCUAGCAUCUCUGCCACUCCUCAGUUUGUGAACUUUCUAUGCCUUAUUUCAUCAUCUUCUCAAUGAGCACAUCAAUAUCCAAUUCAUAUUGUUUUGUGAGGCUGAAUUGAGAUAAUGUACAUAGAAGUCUUAUCUUAUUUUGAACACUGAAAAUUUGGUAAAACUUUCCAUUAAGUGUUAAAUAUCAACACAUUUC
rnacentral:lncRNA from 1 species